rnacentral:rRNA from 1 species
CCGACGGGAGGCUGCAGUGAGGAAUAUUGGUCAAUGGGCGCGAGCCUGAACCAGCCAAGUAGCGUGAAGGAUGACUGCCCUACGGGUUGUAAACUUCUUUUAUAAAGGAAUAAAGUGAGGCACGUGUGCCUUUUUGUAUGUACUUUAUGAAUAAGGAUCGGCUAACUCCGUGCCAGCAGCCGCGGUAAUACGGAGGAUCCGAGCGUUAUCCGGAUUUAUUGGGUUUAGAGGGAGCGUAGAUGGGUUGUUAAGUCAGUUGUGAAAGUUUGCGGCUCAACCGUAAAAUUGCAAUUGAUACUGGCUGCCUUGAGUACAGUUGAGGUAGGCGGAAUUCGUGGUGUAGCGGUGAAAUGCGUAGAGAUCACGAAGAACUCCGAUUGCGAAGGCAGCUUACUAAACUGCCACUGACAGUGAUGUUCGAAAGUGUGGGUAUCAAACAGGAUUAGAUACCCUGGUAGUC